UACGGAGGGUGCAAGCGUUAUCCGGAAUCACUGGGUUUAAGGGUGCGUAGGCGGCUUAAUAAGUCAGAGGUGAAGGGCUGUGGCUCAACCAUGGGAUUGCCUUUGAUACUGUUAGGCUUGAAUCAGGCUGAGGUUGGCAGAAUGUGGCAUGUAGCGGUGAAAUGCAUAGAGAUGCCAUAGAAUACCGAUUGCGAAGGCAGCUGACUGGCCCUUGAUUGACGAUGAGGCACGAAAGAGUGGGGAGCGAACAGG
rnacentral:rRNA from 1 species